UGAACAGGUAAGACUCAGUCUUUAUUUCUCUUUGUCUUCUGUCUUCCUUUCUGGAAUCUGAUUAUAUAUCAAUUCAUACUCCAAAAUCAAGCUCAAAUAUGCUUAAAACUUCCUUGGUUUCACAUGUUCUUGUCUUGUCUAUGCAUACCGUGUCUCUCCCCCUCCCUGGAAACAGCAAAUUAUUGAAAGUAAAAGAAAAAAAAAAACAAAACUCCAACAACCCAAAAAAAAAAAAAAAAAAAAACCACCCACACAUCUCAAACUUGCCCCCACACCCUCGCAAAAAGAAAGAGAAUAGAGAGAUUUAAGUCAGAGGAAUGUGAAACUGUCACCAGCAAUGCUGCCAAAAAAAAAAAAAAAGCAGUUGUAAAAAGAAGAAAGGUCAUCUAUAAGAAAGUAAAAAUAAGAGCCAUUGUCUGUGGGUGAAGCUGCCCUAGCAACUUACAUAUUGUGGCAAAAAAAUAUGAACAGAAUUGUCACUUGGUAAUGUAUAAGAAUGAAGAUACUGGUAAGGAGGAAAGAGGACAAAUUUGUAAGGUGGGGAGCUUCAAAAUAGGAAAAGUUCCCAGGAAUAUUUUUCGCACCCCCAUCUUUGCAAAUCUUCCUGGCAUCUUGGAGGAGUGCUGGAACUGCAAAGUGAGGCAGAGAGGACCAGGCACUCUGAGGAAGGUUUGGGCUGCUUUCGCCCCUUUGUAAGAAGAGUGGGGGCAUCUCUUUUUACAGUUUUCCUCCCUUCUGAGGCUUAGAAUAAUAAAGUCAAGUGGCCGCCCAUCAGCCCCUGUCCAUCUUCUUUACCAAACUUGACAUAGUGGAAGAAAUAUGACACGUGAAUUAUUAAAGAGGAGCUAGUUGACUUUUAACCCUGGUUGCUUUUCUCAGACCCCAUUACCUGCAAAUUUAUCUGGCAAUACACUGCAAGAAUUACAGGGCAUGCAGGGUAGGAAGAAGAGAGUAGAAAGCAGAGUGAGGGCUUUGUGAAAAUAUCAGGGAAAGGCAGGAUGCUUUACCUUACCAUUUGCACUACUCAAGGGGAUGAGUAAUAUGUUAUAGAAAACAAACCACUCCUCUAAAGAAGGAGGUUGGUUUCUCUGUCCAGGAAGAAAGCAGAGACGGAAUUCAAAGCACAUUCAACACCACCCCUGCAUCUCUCUGAUUCUCACUUCCUUCAGGCAGAACUUCUCAGUGUCUUAAUUUUUUAAAAUCUUUAACUUGAUUUAAAUUAAUUCUUAACUUUAUGAACAAAGGUAAUAUAAUAAGCUCUUCUCCUCUUCCUCCCCUUCCUUUUUAAUACCAUUCUUGUUUUCACUCAGUUGCAAACACUUCUCAAAAGGGAAAAAAAACCCCAUAAAGACAGCACACAGACCCUUUGUAAGUUAGAGUCUUCCAAAACUUUAGAAAACAUACACAGACUACUUAAUUUGGGC
rnacentral:lncRNA from 10 species